rnacentral:lncRNA from 10 species
UAUAUUUUAACUGAUACUUCAAUUCGAACACUAACAAAAUGGUCCUUUGUAGCGUAUUUGUCUUUUAGGCUGAGAAAACAGACACCAUACUCACCUUGAACAAACUGAAGAUAUUAUAACUGUGGAAACCCUAUAGCAGGGCAUAGGGGAGUGCUGCUGUGUCACUGUGGCAGUGGGGAGUGGAAGACUGAAUAAAUAUUGCAAAUGGAGGGACCAGCCAGAGGGUGCAAAGGCCUCGGGAGCAUGAGGGAAUGCAGCUCACCAGCAGAGUUUCAAGCAGUUCACUAUGGCUCGAGGACAAGAAGAGGGCAAGAAAAGAGGCUGAAAAGCAGUCACGGGUCCCACGAAGAAGGCCUUGGAAGGAAUCAGGACUUCAUCCUGAAGGAGUUGCUGAGCCAUUAAAAGAACAAUUAAGGGAGGAGCAUGCUCAAAGGUAUGGUUUAGAGACAUUUUCAG